rnacentral:lncRNA from 1 species
UUAUAUUCUAAUGCCUAAUUAGUAAUUACUAUUUCUCAUUCUAGAGAAAGACUCAAAGACAGAAAAGUGAGACUGAGGUCUGAGAACAGAGAGGAGAGAACUGAAACCCUAACACCUAAAGCAGCAGCCGCCAGCCAGUACCCAGUAGCCACCAAUCCUUUCCGCCUCCGCUCGUCGUCGUCUACUUCCACCAGUCGUCGGUCUCCCUCCUCUCGCCAU